AUUAUUCACUCACACAAAGAGGGAAGGGAGAACAGGGAGUAAGGGGAAGAACAACAAAGAGAAAACUUUGUUGACUAUCGUAUUAUUAUUAUUAUUAUUAUUUUGCAUGAUUAUUUUGGGACUUUUUUUGUUUCUUCUUUCUACAUGA
rnacentral:ribozyme from 13 species